rnacentral:misc_RNA from 1 species
UUCUCGACAUUACAGCACAAAC